CGGCGCUGCUGCGCCCCGGCCCUGUCCCGUGCACCGGGCCUCCCCCCCCUUUCCUCCGUUAACCGGACCCUCGUCCCCAGCACCCCUUUCCCGUACACUGCUCCCUGCCACCACCCUCCCCGCACGCGGGACCCCAAAUUCCCCGUCGGCAGGUUUGCGCCCAGGUCUCACCCGCCGUGGGCAGCACCCCGGCACGCUCGUUCCUGCCCCAACCGGGGGGCACCGGGGCCCCGGAGCCCCCUCGCUGCCCGGCUCCGCACCCCCAGUUCUUCCCCCCCGCGGAGCCGGGGGACCCCGCUGCCCCCUCUCUCCCCGACCCGGCGGGCGGGGGGCCGUGCUCGGGGUCCCCCCCGCUUCCGCCUCCGUCCCGGAGCCGAGCUCUGCGGCACGUGGCGCCCCGUGCAGCGGUUUUCGGGCCGGGGCGCGAAGUGUCGCUCCUUCCGCCAGGGCCGGCUCGAAGGCCGGGGUGCCCGGGCUGGGCAGCGCUUGGGCCUCYGGCAUGGGGGUGUCCUGGUCUGGAAUUGGGAGGGGGGGGGUGGAUCAAGGCCUGUUCCCGGUGGGAGGCAGCACAGGUGCUGGCGGGCUGCCGGUCCUGGCUAUGCCGCGGGCCGUUCGUUCGCACGUGGUCGCGGGGYGGCAAAGUUCUCGGGAGCCUGCUGCAAGGUGUCGCUCCGCUUCCCGCACCGGUGGCUGCGUGUGCCGCUGGAGCUGGGGCYGGGGGGAGCUCUGCACCCGGAGGCAGCCCCGGCACGCUUGGCUGUGGAGCGACCGCGGGAGCCUCUUCCCCUGCCUCUGCCGCCACCGGAGCAUCCUUCCCCGCCAGCGCCCCGGAUCCAGCCCCCUCCGCUUUGCAGCGGCCCUCGUCCGGGGGGAUGCGAGGAGUGGGAAGGCAGCGUGCCGGCGGAGAGGACCCAGCUCCAGCUGCCUGUUCCCGCCAGUGCCGCAGGCAGGGGGCCGGCGCAUGGCCUUAACACCGGCACUGUGAUCCCGCAUCCUCACCGGUUGGGUCGGGGCCGAGCCRUGCCAGCCGGCUCCCCGCUUUAUCCUUGGCGCUGCCGGGAAUUGGGGAGGGGGGAAGCGUUCUGGACCGGGCACGGCAGCAGCCUGCCAGUGCCCGCGCUCCUGCGGCACGGAUGCCCCGCCGGCACGGCUCCRUGUGGCGCCGGCAGCGCUCUUCCGGCGCUCGGGCAGCGGCGUGGCACGGAAAUCGCGCGAAGCAGCGGAGCAGGAGCCCCUCGGCCCCGACGGGCUUCCGUGCCGCGCGUCGCUCUCGCGGAAGYUCGCCCUGGGGGGGGAAGCAUGGAGGAAGCGUGA
rnacentral:lncRNA from 1 species